CCUACGGGAGGCUGCAGUGGGGAAUAUUGGGCAAUGGGGGCAACCCUGAUCCAGCCAUGCCGCGUGUGUGAAGAAGGCCCUCGGGUUGUAAAGCACUUUCAGUGAGGAAGAACGCCUGGUGGUUAAUACCCAUCAGGAAAGACAUCACUCACAGAAGAAGCACCGGCUAACUCCGUGCCAGCAGCCGCGGUAAUACGGAGGGUGCGAGCGUUAAUCGGAAUUACUGGGCGUAAAGCGCGCGUAGGUGGCUUGAUAAGCCGGUUGUGAAAGCCCCGGGCUCAACCUGGGAACGGCAUCCGGAACUGUCAAGCUAGAGUGCAGGAGAGGAAGGUAGAAUUGCCAGUGUAGCGGUGAAGUGCGUAGAGAUCGGGAGGAGUACCAGUGGCGAGGGUGGCCUUCUGGACUGACACUGACACUGAGGUGCGAAGGCGUGGGUAGCAAGCAGGAUUAGAUACCCCAGUAGUC
rnacentral:rRNA from 1 species